rnacentral:rRNA from 1 species
AGCGAACGCUGGCGGCAGGCUUAACACAUGCAAGUCGAGCGGGCACUUUCGGGUGUCCGCGGCGGACGGGUGAGUAACGCGUGGGAACGUGCCCUCUGGUUCGGAAUAACUCAGGGAAACUUGAGCUAAUACCGGAUACGCCCUUUUGGGGAAAGGCUUGCUGCCGGAGGAUCGGCCCGCGUCUGAUUAGCUAGUUGGUGAGGUAACGGCUCACCAAGGCGACGAUCAGUAGCUGGUCUGAGAGGAUGAUCAGCCACACUGGGACUGGGACACGGCCCAGACUCCUACGGGAGGCAGCAGUGGGGAAUAUUGGACAAUGGGCGCAAGCCUGAUCCAGCCAUGCCGCGUGAGUGAUGAAGGCCUUAGGGUUGUAAAGCUCUUUUAUCCGGGACGAUAAUGACGGUACCGGAGGAAUAAGCCCCGGCUAACUUCGUG